GACGAACGCUGGCGGCGUGCUUAACACAUGCAAGUCGAGCGGAAAGGCCUCCUUCGGGGGGUACUCGAGCGGCGAACGGGUGAGUAACACGUGAGUAAUCUGCCCUCUACUCUGGGAUAACUGCCUGAAAGGGUGGCUAAUACUGGAUGUGACCGACUGCUGCAUGGUGUGUUGGUGGAAAGCUUUUGUGGUGGGGGAUGUGCUCGCGGCCUAUCAGCUUGUUGGUGGGGUAAUGGCCUACCAAGGCUUUGACGGGUAGCCGGCCUGAGAGGGUGACCGGCCACACUGGGACUGAGACACGGCCCAGACUCCUACGGGAGGCAGCAGUGGGGAAUAUUGGACAAUGGGCGGAAGCCUGAUCCAGCAACGCCGCGUGAGGGAUGACGGCCUUCGGGUUGUAAACCUCUUUCAGCACAGACGAAGCGCCUUUUGGGGUGGUGACGGUAUGUGCAGAAGAAGCACCGGCCAACUACGUGCCAGCCGCCGCAGUAAAAC
rnacentral:rRNA from 1 species